rnacentral:lncRNA from 1 species
GUGUGGGAACAACUGGAAGCAGCGAAGGGGGCGGGGCACCGAGGGACCCAGGCCUGGCUCCCACCCACAGCUGAGCCGGUUCUCUCCAGUGCUAAGCCCCAGCUCUGGCCCCAGGACGAUCUCCUCCCUGCACACCCCUUACCCAGGAAUCAGGGAGCCAGACAGGGGGAGGGGCAGACAGGGACCCUUUUCACGGACCCCUCCCAUUUGGGUUCAGGCCCUCCCACACUCCCGGCUAGCAUCCUCUCCUUUGUUCUCUUCUUGCCCCACCCGCCCUCCAGCGGGGUGAGGUGGGGGUGCGGGAAUUAACCCACCGAGGUGCUGCCCUAUUUGCGCCCUUCAGCCUUUUACGUGUAAGGGGGAUGUUGGAGGAGCAGCUGGCAGCUUCCCUGCCUCCAGGCUCCUCAGCUUCUGGGCCAAGAAAGGCCAAACUCUUCACCUGCCCCUCCCUGGCAUAACCAGCCCACAAUGAGCACCCAGCACCCUCACCCACACCCCUCCCCCGACACUCCAGCAGCCCUCUGGAAUCUUCUCUCACCUCCUAGACACACACACACAGAGGCACCUCCGGGAGGCUCUGGCCAGGCCUGGGUGUGGCAGGAUAGAAAUGAAAGUUGUCCUGGCAACACACAAGAUUUCAUCAACAUUUCCAUCCCCAGCAGCUCCUGGGCCAAGCCUCAUCUUGCCCAGUGUGGCCUGUCAAGAUGACGGCCUGGAAGAGAAGCCAGACUGGGCAGCCAGGCCUCUGCCCCUCCCCUUGCCUGGUGGCACAGCCAGCACUGGCUCACUGGGAAAGCUCACAACUCCUCACAGCGAUCUGGUAUCUUGAGCGUCAGUUUCUGGCCGAAACUGGGGGCUCCUGACUGAACUCCCUCCCACCUAGAAAACCUUCUGUGCAGUCUGAUUGCUCCAACACCCACAGAGCAGGAUUCAGGUAUCCCGGAGACCUUGGGAGGUCCCCAUCCAGAGGUCUGCUGUCCUGCCAGGCUUGGGGCAGCAGGGACUGGGACCCCACUCAGACCUCUCUGGGGCAAAUGUUUUGGUUCUCACAACAGCCCUAGUGAAAUCAAUCCUAGAUACUCCCAUUUGGUCCCACCAAGGCCAUUUAAUUUCUCUGUAAAGGGUAAGAUGACACAAAAGAGCCAACUAUGGAAACGGUGAGGUGGGAGUCUGAACCGAUUUAGCUGUUCUCAGGGCGCACAGGGUGUUGACGGUGGUUUUCAUCUGCCACCUGCCUCCUUGAGACCCAGCUGGCCUGAGUGUGCACGAAAUGGGACCUUCUCCUUGGGUCCACCAGGCUGGGAGGCACCCCUAGGUACCCGGCUCCUCAUCACAGCGGCAGCCCUCUCGGUUCCACAUCUGGUUCUCCUGACGAAGCCGCUGGUUUUCGGUCCGGAGCCUCUGGACCUCGGCAGCCAGCUCCUCCACCUGGCGGCAGGACUGCUGGCCGGUGCACGCCUGCAGCUGCUGCAGCCUCCUAGUCUCCUCCUCCGCCUGCGACAGCCGCUUCUCCAGCUCCAGGUAGUCUCGCACCAGCUCCUGCUUGCUGCGGCCCUGCAGGCUCUCGGUGUGGAAGCGUUCGUAAGUCUCAGAGAAGUCCUUCCGCUGGAACUCACCGUGCGCUCGGCCCCGCCCAUCACUGUCCCCGGCCUCACUCUCCCCACUGGAACCUGGGUGGGAGAUCCCAUGGGGCACAUCCAAGUUGGGCUCCUCCGGGUCCCUGUCAUUCAUCAGGAACUGGGUGGUGUUGUAGGGGGCCACGGGCUGGCCUUUGGCGAACAUCUCUUCGCGGACCCGGGAGGCCCUCUGGCUCUGCCUCUCAUCCCGCUGUUGUUUCUCAGCCCAGCUCAGCUCCAGGUAGGGUCGCCAGUGCCUUUUGCGCUUCGAUGGCCGCCGACGGUGUUUCUUCCGGGCCAGCACAGCCUCCGCUGAGCAGCCCCCUGGGCUCUGGGUCCGGGGACUCCUACUGUUCCAGCCCAGGCCACCGACAGCCCCAGCAAGAUCUUCAUCCUCUGAGUGGCUCUCCAUCCGCGGUGUCAGGGGCAGGGAACCACCAGAGUCAUGACGCUCAGGGGGUGUUUGGGGGCUCCCCGGGGCACCAGAGGUCUAAAGAGAGGGAGGAGGAAGAAGGAUGGAUCAGACAGCCUGUCCUUGGAGGUGGAACCUUUCCCUCUCUACCUAGCCUGAAGCCUACCUUCCUACACUCAGCUAACUUGGUCACUCUUAGCCCCUCAACCUUUUGGAACCAUUUGUUUACAAAGAGACCUGUCUACUGUCUGUCCCCCAACCUUCCCCAAGUAAACUCAUGGUGAGAGCAGGAAUU